rnacentral:rRNA from 1 species
UACGUAGGCAGCGAGCGUUGUUCGGAGUUACUGGGCGUAAAGGGUGUGUAGGCGGUGGCUUAAGUUUGGUGUGAAGUCUCCCGGCUCAACUGGGAGGGUGCGCCGAAUACUGAGUUGCUCGAGUGCGGGAGAGGAGAGUGGAAUUCCUGGUGUAGCGGUGAAAUGCGUAGAUGUCAGGAGGAACACCGGUGGUGUAGACGGCUCUCUGGACCGUAACUGACGCUGAGACACGAAAGCGUGGGUAG